CCUACGGGAGGCAGCAGUGGGGAAUAUUGCACAAUGGGGGAAACCCUGAUGCAGCGACGCCGCGUGAGUGAAGAAGUAUUUCGGUAUGUAAAGCUCUAUCAGCAGGGAAGAAAAUGACGGUACCUGACUAAGAAGCCCCGGCUAACUACGUGCCAGCAGCCGCGGUAAUACGUAGGGGGCAAGCGUUAUCCGGAUUUACUGGGUGUAAAGGGAGCGUAGACGGCCAGACAAGUCAGAAGUGAAAGCCCAGGGCUCAACCCUGGGACUGCUUUUGAAACUGCCGGGCUGGAGUGCAGGAGAGGUAA
rnacentral:rRNA from 1 species